rnacentral:rRNA from 1 species
CUACGGGUCGCUCCAGUGGGGAAUAUUGGGCAAUGGGCGAAAGCCUGACCCAGCAACGCCGCGUGAAGGAAGAAGGCUUUCGGGUCGUAAACUUCUAUCCCAGGUGAAGAUAAUGACGGUAGCCUGGAAGGAAGCCCCGGCUAACUACGUGCCAGCAGCCGCGGUAAUACGUAGGGGGCAAGCGUUGUCCGGAAUGAUUGGGCGUAAAGGGCGCGUAGGCGGCCCUUUAAGCCCGAUGUGAAAGUCCUGCUUUUAAGGUGGGAAUCGCAUUGGAAACUGGAGGGCUUGAGUGCAGGAGAGGUAAGUGGAAUUCCCGGUGUAGCGGUGAAAUGCGUAGAGAUCGGGAGGAACACCAGUGGCGAAGGCGACUUACUGGACUGUAACUGACGCUGAGGCGCGAAAGUGUGGGGAGCAAACAGGAUUAGAUACCCUGGUAGUC